GAUGAACGCUGGCGGCGUGCCUAAUACAUGCAAGUCGAGCGAACAGACGAGGGGCUUGCUCCUCUGACGUUAGCGGCGUACGGGUGAGUAACACGUGGAUAACCUACCUAUAAGACUGGGAUAACUUCGGGAAACCGGAGCUAAUACCGGAUAAUAUAUUGAACCGCAUGGUUCAAUAGUGAAAGACGGUUUUGCUGUCACUUAUAGAUGGAUCCGCGCCGCAUUAGCUAGUUGGUAAGGUAACGGCUUACCAAGGCAACGAUGCGUAGCCGACCUGAGAGGGUGAUCGGCCACACUGGAACUGAGACACGGUCCAGACUCCUACGGGAGGCAGCAGUAGGGAAUCUUCCGCAAUGGGCGAAAGCCUGACGGAGCAACGCCGCGUGAGUGAUGAAGGUCUUCGGAUCGUAAAACUCUGUUAUUAGGGAAGAACAAAUGUGUAAGUAACUAUGCACGUCUUGACGGUACCUAAUCAGAAAGCCACGGCUAACUACGUG
rnacentral:rRNA from 1 species